UACGGAGGAUCCAAGCGUUAUCCGGAUUUAUUAGGUUUAAAGGGUGCGUAGGCGGGAAUAUAAGUCAGUGGUGAAAUCCUUCAGCUUAACUGGAGAACUGCCAUUGAUACUGUUUUCCUUGAGUGCAUUUGAGGUAAGCGGAAUGUGUCAUGUAGCGGUGAAAUGCAUAGAUAUGACACAGAACACCGAUUGCGAAGGCAGCUUACUAAACUGUUACUGACGCUGAGGCACGAAAGCGUGGGGAGCGAACAGGAUUAGAUACCCUAGUA
rnacentral:rRNA from 1 species